GGUGAGAUGGCUCAGUGGUUAAGAGCACUGACUGCUCUUCCAGAGGUCCUGAGUUCAAAUCCCGACAACCA
rnacentral:tRNA from 1 species